CUCCUACGGGACGCAGCAGUGGGGAAUAUUGCACAAUGGGGGAAACCCUGAUGCAGCGAUGCCGCGUGGAGGAAGAAGGUUUUCGGAUUGUAAACUCCUUUUAUCAGGGACGAUAAUGGCGGUACCUGAAGAAAAAACUCCGGCUAACUACGUGCCCGCAGCCGCGGUAAUACGUAGGGAGCGAGCGUUGUCCGGAAUUACUGGGGGUAAAGGGAGCGGAGGCGGGACGGGAAGUC
rnacentral:rRNA from 1 species